rnacentral:rRNA from 1 species
UACGAAGGGUGCAAGCGUUAAUCGGAAUUACUGGGCGUAAAGGGUGCGUAGGCGGUUGUUUAAGUCUGUCGUGAAAUCCCCGGGCUCAACCUGGGAAUGGCGAUGGAUACUGGACAGCUAGAGUGUGUCAGAGGAUGGUGGAAUUCCCGGUGUAGCGGUGAAAUGCGUAGAGAUCGGGAGGAACAUCAGUGGCGAAGGCGGCCAUCUGGGACAACACUGACGCUGAAGCACGAAAAGCGUGGGG